UACACCUUAUGCAAGACGCAGUACUUUUAUCUGCUUCUCUGCAUCCGCAACUGCAAUCUCGGCAAGAUGUGACGAUGGGGUUGUAAAAUGAUGAGAGGGAAACACCGCAUACAGAUCUGAUACCAAUGAGGUUUGGGAUAAGUGGCAAGUAGCAUAGACCCUUUAAACAUAUGACAGAAGUUGGAUUUUUGGCUAUGUGAUUGUUUAUGGUCAAAGCUGACACAUUUUUUCUCAAUAAAUUGGUAACAAGAUUGCUUCUUAAUCUCCUAUUAAAAAUAUGAUCACAUUCUAAUUUUUUCAGAAGUAUGAUUAUGUUAUGAUGUGCUGUUAUUAUUGUAUUAUAGCUCACUAGUAGGCUUGGAACUUGGAUUAUUACUCCAGGCACCAUCUCUUGAUAUCUUUCAGCUAAGCUGGGCUCCUUUUUCUUGUUGCCUCAUAUUAAAUCGAUAGAGAAAGUUGUGUCUAAUUUGUCAUCAAAUUCUCAAAUCAAACAUUGACAUGUGAUGUGAAUGCUUUUUCCAGCAUUAACCAACCUCCUAUACGGAUGUUGUAGUGCGUUUUAUUUUAAAAUGUUCGCAAAUCAAAGCUGAUUUAAGACCUUGGACAAUAAUAUAAGAAACUUGAUAUUAAGUUA